ACGGAGGGAGCUAGCGUUAUUCGGAAUUACUGGGCGUAAAGCGCACGUAGGCGGCUUUGUAAGUAAGAGGUGAAAGCCUGGAGCUCAACUCCGAAGCUGCUUCUGAUACUGCGGAUCUAGGGACUGGUAGAGGCUGGUAGAAUUACAGGUGUAGCGGUGGAAUGCGUAGAUAUCUGUAAGAAUACCCGUGGCGAAGGCGGCCAGCUGGGCCAGGUCCGACGCUGAGGCGCGAAAGCGUGGGGAGCAAACAGGA
rnacentral:rRNA from 1 species